rnacentral:rRNA from 1 species
CCUAGUAACGGCGAGUGAAGCGGCAACAGCUCAAAUUUGAAAUCUGGCCUCGGCCCGAGUUGUAAUUUGCAGAGGAAGCUUUAGGCGCGGCACCGACUGAGUCCCCUGGAACGGGGCGCCACAGAGGGUGAGAGCCCCGUAUAGUCGGACGCUAAGCCUGUGUAAAGCUCCUUCGACGAGUCGAGUAGUUUGGGAAUGCUGCUCAAAAUGGGAGGUAAAUUUCUUCUAAAGCUAAAUACCGGCCAGAGACCGAUAGCGCACAAGUAGAGUGAUCGAAAGAUGAAAAGCACUUUGAAAAGAGGGUUAAAUAGCACGUGAAAUUGUUGAAAGGGAAGCGCUUGUGACCAGACUUGCGCCUGGCUGAUCAUCCGGUGUUCUCACCGGUGCACUCUGCCAGGCUCAGGCCAGCAUCGGUUCUCGCGGGGGGAUAAAGGCCCUGGGAACGUAGCUCCUCCGGGAGUGUUAUAGCCCAGGGUGCAAUGCCCUCGCGGGGACCGAGGUUCGCGCAUCUGCAAGGAUGCUGGCGUAAUGGUCAUCAGCGACCCGUCUUGAAACACGGACCAAGGAGUCAAGGUUUUGCGCGAGUGUUUGGGUGUAAAACCCGCACGCGUAAUGAAAGUGAACGUAGGUGAGAGCUUCGGCGCAUCAUCGACCGAUCCUGAUGUUUUCGGAUGGAUUUGAGUAGGAGCGUUAAGCCUUGGACCCGAAAGAUGGUGAACUAUGCUUGGAUAGGGUGAAGCCAGAGGAAACUCUGGUGGAGGCUCGCAGCGGNUUCUGACGUGCAAAUCGAUCGUCAAAUCUGAGCAUGGGGGGCGAAAGACU